CACCUACUCCCUCCGUUCGGAAUUACUUGUCACGGAAAUGGAUGUAUCUAGACAUAUUCUAGAUAUAUCCAUUUCCGUGACAAGUAAUUUCAAACGGAGGGAGUACCUC
rfam:Triticum urartu cultivar G1812 contig746547, whole genome shotgun sequence.